GGCUACACACGUGCUACAAUGGGUAGUACAGAGAGUCGCAAAGCCGUGAGGUGGAGCUAAUCUCAGAAAACUAUUCUUAGUUCGGAUUGUACUCUGCAACUCGAGUACAUGAAGUUGGAAUCGCUAGUAAUCGCAAAUCAGCAAUGUUGCGGUGAAUACGUUCUCGGGUCUUGUACACACCGCCCGUCACACCACGAGAGUUGGUUGCACCUGAAGUAGCAGGCCUAACCGUAAGGAGGGAUGCUCCGAGGGUGUGAUUAGCGAUUGGGGUGAAGUCGUAACAAGGUAUCCGUACGGGAACGU
rnacentral:rRNA from 1 species